rnacentral:lncRNA from 1 species
GUUGUGCUCUGCAGCUGGCAGAGGCAGACCUGGUCAACUUGGGCAGCAGCUGUCUCGUGCCUGGCACAUGCCAGAUACACAGGCAAAACCUCCGAGGAGAAGAAACAGCUCUGCCCUCAAGCCUGCAGUUUGGAUUUACUUGCAGAAAACAGGAGAUGAUUCCUGCCAUCCCCAAUCCUGACAAUGGGCUGCAAUGACCUUGCAGAGCCCAGCCUUGCAGCCUCUGGAUGACCAGAUGGCACCUGACCCCACCAAGGAGGCAGAGGGGACCCCCACGGUGCACCCAAACAUGGCACCAAGGAGCCUUCUUUGUGGAGCUUGCCUCUCCUUCGCCUGGGGCAGGGUCUUGGUCUUGGGUCCCAGCAAUGAGCUCCUCCAGCAGCAGCUGGAAAACAAGACACUGCGCUGGGUGAUCUGUCGAUGCCAUUGGAUGGGAUUAUGGCUCCUGCCAGGCUCCAGCAAAUUGUGAAAUACAAAUUGUUAGCAGCUUGCAGACCAUUUGCAAAUAAACCAUCACAGGCAGGCAUUAAAAGACCCCCUAAAUAAGCAUCCUCAGGAAGGUAGUGACACAGGAGCUUGUUUAUAUCCUUUCUAUUUGACACUUGUUCCAUCAAAGGGAGGCUAUGCUCAGCGCUGUGGAGAGGCUAUGCAGGCAGCAUUUAAAAUGCAAAGAUCUGCUGAUUUUUCAUACGGAAUUAUACAAAUGGAACCGCUCUUCCAUUUUAUGAUUGAAUUAGGUAAUGUAUUGAUGGUGCAGAACCAAGGUUAUGUCCUUGUUUUCUGUGAUUUAUGGACUUGGAGCAUUUCACAGCUCCUGGUUGUGGACACAGCCAUGCACCAUCGCUGUGUUUCUGGUGCUGAGAAAGCUGGCUGUCACACAGACGCUGGACGCUGGACAGAUCAGAGGGGGUUCGGGGCCAUGACUGCAUCCUCCAGAGAAGCCCUGCUGGGAGAGGAAACUCCAGCAGCAGGAGGGUGCCUUUGUUGUUGGGCCUUUUUUCCUCCUGCCACAGUGACUUAUGACAAAAGGCAGAAGACAAUGGCUUGGGAUCAGGUCUGACUCCAUCCUCUGAGGCUGCCAAUGGGCCUGGCUUCCCAAGGAAAGAGAUCUGCUGGUUCCUUGUGGCCCCUUUGACAGCUCUGGUGGAGGAGGCUGGCACAGCCAAGGGGCUGGGGGAGGUGACCAUGAUGGUGAUGACUCAGAAAGCAGGCGCUCAGAACACUCAUAAAGGCCGAUGUGCAGCUUCCUAGACCCAGGCAGGAGGUGAGCCUCAUGGCCUCCUCCUCCCGCCUGCCCCGUGAACUCUUAAACCUGGAGAUGUGCUGAGCCAGGAGCCAAUGGAAUGAACAUGGUUUCCACCGAGUAAAAUUAUCAGCGUGUUAACAGCUGCCCCCCAAACAGCUGGGGAUGCAUUCCCGCCCUGCACAUGCAGACAGCAGCAACAUUUGCUCAACCUGGGAGCUUCAGAGACAGGCAUGAAACUAAAUCUUCCCAAAUCCAUUGAGGUGAGCCCAGAUGCACCAACCCAGAGGAUCCAAGGGCUCAGCCUUUUCCAGGCCAUUCCCGGGGUGUGUCUGUGUCUUAUGAAUGCCUACGCAUCUGAUGCUCCCUAGGAAGCCCCUCACCAUGCAUACUCCUCCUCAGUGCCCCCUGCCCUAAGCAUCAGGCUUUCUUGACCGUCUAACACUGCACCUGUGCAAGUCCCACCCUGGCCUCUCUGGGGACAGUGAUGUUCUUUCCUUGCCCCCUGAGCCCCAUCCCUACUCGGGAGCUGGCACACAGGGAGUGCCCUCAAAUGGCUGUGGGACAAGUGAGAGGAAGGUGCUGUGACAGCUUGUUUUCAGCCAGGUGAGUCCCAUGGAGAUCUGAGUCAAGUAUAUUUGCAAGAGUCCCCAGGAAAAGACUGUGGGUACCCAGUGCAGGACGAAACAUUUUCCUAAAACCCGUAGAAAUUCCUUGCCUACAUUUCUUUGCUUUCCUGAAUGUCUGAGGUCACAUUUGCCUUUCCCAUAUAUCAACGUCCCAGUGGACCCACUGAAAUGGAUGGACAGCUUUAGAGCAGAGGGGGACAAAUCCAGGGUGCACUAUUCUGGAGAGACUUUGCUUUGUCCAGUACCUCUGAUGGGAGUGAGGCUUGGUCGGAAUGAGAAGGAAAAAUAUUCUGCCUCCAGGCAUGGCCUCUGUCUAAGCCUGUGCUCUCUGCCCCAGCUGUACCUGUCUGAACAA